CCGUAGCCAGUCUGGCUCAAG
rnacentral:sRNA from 1 species